AUGCUCAUCCAAGGAACUGCGCGGAGACUACAUGCACUCAAAAACCCAUCGGUGAUGCUCAAGCCGGACAAAUCAAAAGCAUUCGACUCGAUACAGUGGUCCUUUGUCCUCGAGGUACCGGGAAGGAUGGAAUUUGGAGAGAGAUGGAUAUCGUGGAUAUGCGGGUUGUUGGCCACCUCCUCCACCAGAAUCAUGACAAAUGGCAUCCCCGGGAGACCAAUUCUGAGCUGCCAAGGGUUGCGGCAAGGAGCUCCCCUGUCACCCAUGAUCUUCAUCCUAUGCAUGGAGCCUCUACAUGGCCUCUUCAAGUAUGCAGCAUGCAAAAACCUACUCGCGCCACUUGCCAGAAGCGGAAUGCAAUCUAGAGUGUCCAUGUUCGCGGAUGACGUCAUGGUCUUCUUCAAGCCGACGGAGAUAGAAACGCGCACGUGCGGGGUAGUUCUUCAUCUAUUUGGGCAGGCGUCUGGGCUAACAGUGAACAUGAGCAAAAGUGCAGCCAUCCCAAUCCGGUGCUCCCAGGAAGAGAUGGACAUGGUAUUGAUACGUCUCCAACGUAUCUAUAAUUUUUGA
rnacentral:rRNA from 1 species